AGCUCUUCUGUUUUGGAGGUUGUUUUUAGUCAGACAUCUUGAAAGGCAGUUUGCCGGUAUUUUUAUAGGAGGAUUUCAUGCACAGAUCACACAGUGAGACAGGGUGGAGUGAAGUAGAGAACAGCGCAGUUGGUACACCUGAUUCCAUAAAAUGGGUGUCGUCUUCAUGUUAUCAUCGUCCUCUAUCGCUUUGUAUUAACUUGGUAACUGAUGCCACGUGUCUUAAUAUAAAUAAAGAAGAAAAACCCGAACCCAGCCUUGGAUGUUUAUAUACCAACUUUUAAUACAUAAAUAGCCAAAGGUUACAUAAAUAUUGAAUAUUGUAUUUUUGCCUUUUCUGUAUUUUCAAGACGCAUAAUCAAACUCUAUACAUAGAGCGCCAACUUCACCCGAUUUACAUUCAGAACAUUUUAACGCGUUUCGAGUUUUAUCGUAAUACUAUGUUUAACAUUGCACUGUUGAACUGCCCAAAUACGGAAAAAUACAGGGGUUUUUUGUUCGCACGUGCGUCCAAUACGGCAACAUAUUGUACGGUCACGUGUUGCAAAUAAACGUUCACGAUUGGAUAAAUAAAAUAGAUAUAGAACAAUAAUAUAUCAUUUAAAUGUUUGAGGUGUUCCUAAGCAUAAUAUAAUUCUACACUGAAAACAUGUUCUAAUUAGUUUUUGCAAAAACUAUGCUAUUCAAAAUAUUAGUGUAGCAGUGCCAUUAUUUUGAUAUAUAUUUAAUAUGUUGUUUUUAAUCUGUAUAGUGUCUUUAAACAUUCACAGCUGACAAAUUAGACAUGGGCCUUUAAUGUAAUUGAAAUGUGUUCAGUAUUUCCAUGCUUUUUUCAUGCAUAGUUAUUUUUAGACUUGUUUACUUGGUUAUUCAGCCGAUCAUAUUGUCGCAUUGGUUGAAAUGUGUGGUCACAUGACUAGUAGUUCUGUGCAGAACAUAUUGAUGAGAGCUAGUGACAUGUACUUUUUGGGGUGUGUCAUAUGUUUUACUAGUCCAAAAUAUUAGACGUGUACAUGCUCAUUUUACCUUCAACAUUCAUUAUUUUAUUAUUUUACAUUUUAUUUUCAAUCUGCAUUGUAACGUCUAAAAGGGCCCUAAUCAGUAGAAUGUAGCAUUUUCUCACACGAAAAAUAUACGAUAUGCGCAGGUUUAGACAGUCCAGCCUACCGUUAUUUAUCAUAUUCUAGUAAUAUAUCGUUUAAAUUUACCUUUAAAAGCCCUCAUAUCCAAUAUAUGUCAAUUGUGUACUGUUUUCAAUACACAUUCCGCCAUUUUUCAAGCAUAUUCAGCAGGUUAUAAUAUAUUUAGAAUCGACUUAGACGAAAACAAUUUUCCAUGUAAACUAUUUGCCAAUUGAUCCAGAGGGAAAAUAUUUCGUCUAAAAUUGAUUCUCAAAAUAAACUGUGUUUACACAACAUUCGGAAUAGACCGGCAAUGUUGCACACCAUAAUACAGAUACACGGCAAUACAUACAGUGGAAAGAAACAACUCGAUAUUUAUAUAUGAAAAGUAACUUUUAUUUUAUAAUUAUUCACAUGUGCAGUUGAAAAAAGGAUUAUUUUCGGUGUAAGUAGUGUUCUUUCACUUCGGAUUGGGUUAUGUUGUUCAUAAUUUGAAGAUUAGAGGCGACAUGAAGUGUGUUCGCUUCUCACUACAUGUUAUACAUGGCGAUCUGAUAAGACCUGACAUAACCGAUAGACGUCAAAAUGUUAAAAUAUGUUAUGUCAGGUCUUAUUGAUAGGACUAAUGUUUUACUUGGUUUUUAAAGAUUGAUAGGAUUGUUGGAUUCAGGUAUUUAUUUCUUUGGUUUGCAGUUUAUUAUUGCUUUGCCUAGAUUGAUUUGUUUAAGUGCUGUUUCUUGAAUAGUGGUUUUAUUCAUCCUGUGCGCGUUCUUCUGUCAUUCUUGAAUUGGCGCUUGUUUUUGUAAUGGCUGAUCUACGAACUGCCGCUCCAUUCUUUUAACACUUUGCAUGAAUAUUCUGAUCUUAACCUUACAGCACAGUCAUACAGUUAUUACCAGUACACAGAGAACAGAGUAUGUCUGCGUGAGGAUAGUUGUCAGAAUGUAGGAAUCAGAGGGGUACUUGUGUAACACAUAAGACCCAACACUCUAUUACAGUGUUUUCAAGUGUAUUCCAUAUCCAAGAGAAUGAUGUAUUGUUUGUGUUGUUGUACGAUGUACAUAUAUGUAAAAUAAACAUCUAGUAAACUACCACUGAGUUUAGUCGUGUGGCCCUGCUAGAUUAGUACAUGUAGAUAUUGUAAACCUUCUUCUGCAGUGGUAAUUGUUGACUAAGAGCAAGCUUUAUAUCAAGCUUUGUACAAAGUAUUUAGAUUUAUUGGAUUUGCAAUAUAUAACAAAUGGUAUUGCGCUGCAGCUAUCAUUUACUAGCCCUGUGUAAAAAACUAAGUUUUGAUUUUCCUUAUUUUCUUAACAAAUGACCGUACAGCUAACGACCUCAAUAUUAAUAAUCAAAUAAUAGUCAAUUACAAACAUCAUGAAGCAUUUAGAUAGAAUGUAACAGGCACGAACGAUAGAAAUUUGUUUUAAGGCAUCUACAGAAUUUGUCCUCUGGCCUAGUACUCAUGUCAUGUUGUAUCUUAAUUUCAUAUUCACUUUUGUUAUAUAUGCUAAAUAAAACUUCCAACGCAACCACGAUAUUAUUGGCGAUAAUUUUCGUAAUUUAGACUGUACAUCUGUCAAAUUACUCAUUUUGACAUAUGUGUUGUUAACAACAUAUAAAUUUGUGCAAAGAUACCAUUUCAUUCCCUUUACGACCUUUACUCAUCUUUAAAAAGUUUCAAAAUUACACAUGAAAGUAGUGUUUUCGAGCAUGAUGCAAAGGUGUAGGUAUUGCUUUUUCGCUGAUAUAUGGUCAAAUAUGAAUCAAAAUUUAGGUCUAUUCCCAGGAUAUGACAGGAUCAUAAAAAAAUAUUUUUGUCAAAAUUUUGUCGCCUUAUAACGAAGCUCGUUUGUAAAAGGUAGAUAUUAUUCAAUGUGUAUUUUGUAACUUUUAGAGAUGGGUUAAUGCCAUACAAUAAAUAAAAUGAUAUACUGGCAUCGUUCGAU